rnacentral:tRNA from 1 species
GCGAGGGUGGCGGAAUUGGCAGACGCGCUAGACUUAGGAUCUAGUGAGAUAUUCUCAUGCGGGUUCAAGUCCCGCCUCUCGCACCA